rnacentral:misc_RNA from 1 species
AAAUGCGAUAAGUAAUGUGCAUUGCAGAAUUCAGUGAAUCAUCGAAUCUUUGAACGCACCUUGCGCUCCUUGGUAUUCCUUGGAGCAUGCCUGUUUGAGUAUCAUGAAAUCUUCAAAGUAAAUCUUUUGUUAACUCAAUUGGUUUCUACUUUGGUAUUGGAGGUCUUUGCAGCUUCACACCUGCUCCUCUUUGUUCAUUAGCUGGAUCUCAGUGUUAUGCUUGGUUCCACUCGGCGUGAUAAGUUAUCUAUCGCUGAGGACACUGUAAAAGGUGGCCAAGGUAAAUGCAGAUGAACCGCUUCUCAUAGUCCAUUGACUUGGACAAUACUUUUAUGAUCUGAUCUCAAAUCAGGUAGGACUACCCGCUGAACUUAAGC